AUUGAACGCUGGCGGCAUGCCCUACACAUGCAAGUCGAACGGUAACAGGUCUUCGGAUGCUGACGAGUGGCGAACGGGUGAGUAAUACAUCGGAACGUGCCCGAUCGUGGGGGAUAACGAAGCGAAAGCUUUGCUAAUACCGCAUAAGAUCUACGGAUGAAAGCAGGGGACCGCAAGGCCUUGCGCGAACGGAGCGGUCGAUGGCAGAUUAGGAAGUUGGUGGGAUAGCAGCUUACCAAGCCGACGAUCUGUAGCUGGUCUGAGAGGACGACCAGCCACACUGGGACUGAGACACGGCCCAGACUCCUACGGGAGGCAGCAGUGGGGAAUUUUGGACAAUGGGCGAAAGCCUGAUCCAGCCAUGCCGCGUGCAGGAUGAAGGCCUUCGGGUUGUAAACUGCUUUUGUACGGAACGAAAAGACUCUGGUUAAUACCUGGGGUCCAUGACGGUACCGUAAGAAUAAGCACCGGCUAACUACGUGCCAGCCGCCGCCGUAAUAC
rnacentral:rRNA from 1 species